CGAAAGUUACGCUAAUACCGCAUACGAUCUAAGGAUGAAAGCGGGGGAUCGCAAGACCUCGCGCGAUUGGAGCGGCCGAUAUCAGAUUAGGUAGUUGGUGAGGUAAAGGCUCAUCAAGCCAACGAUCUGUAGCUGGUCUGAGAGGACGACCAGCCACACUGGAACUGAGACACGGUCCAGACUCCUACGGGAGGCAGCAGUGGGGAAUUUUGGACAAUGGACGCAAGUCUGAUCCAGCCAUUCCGCGUGCAGGAUGAAGGCCCUCGGGUUGUAAACUGCUUUUGUACGGAACGAAAAGGUUUCUAUUAAUACUAGGAGCUCAUGACGGUACCGUAAGAAUAAGCACCGGCUAACUACGUG
rnacentral:rRNA from 1 species